GCCGGCUUAGCUCAAUUGGUAGAGCAACUGACUUGUAUCAGUAGGUUGGGGGUUCCAGUCCUCUAGCCGGCA
rnacentral:tRNA from 1 species